rnacentral:lncRNA from 1 species
CCAGUUGGCCCUCAGCUCGGAAACCUGUACAGAGAUCUCUGAAACAAGAUUGCCAGCACGGUUCAUGCUUCUUUUGCUCCCAGCAGACAAGCCUUUCCUCCACUAAACUGCCUCACUAAACUGUACUUGGGCAAUGAAAGGGCUGUCUCUCUCGGGUGAAACUUUUUUCCUAAGCAGAAGUACGGGAGCAUUUAAUGGGGAGUGCAGGGAAGGAGUCAGGCUCUCUCCAUGGAAACUAUCUUAGGAUGCAGCCAAGCAGAAAAGAAAAGAAGGGAGGUGCUGUGAGGUCUGGAGGCAGAGGAGAUCUCAUCGCCACACAGAGCAUCCGGAAGCUUUUCUAGCAUGUACUACAAAAAAGAUGGCUGAUUCAGUGCAUCAUUAUAAAGUUUGUAUGUAAAACAAACAUGAGAAUGUAAAAACCUGCCACUAAUAUUGAUAAUCAUAAAGUACACAAAUACAUUCUCAAAGAACCCCUGAAAAGAUCCUGUGUCCACAUCUUCACCCUUCCUGUUUCUGCUAACGCGUCUUGUUGGAUUUAGGGCCCAAGUGGGUAAUUUAUGACAAUCUCAUCUCAAGAUCUUUAACUUAAUUACACCUGAAAAGAGACUUUUUUUUUCAAAUAAUGUGACAUUCACUGGUUGUGGGGAUAGAAUAUGAACAGGAAUUUUGUUUUUGUUUUUGUGUUUUUUUGGUAUCAGGGAUCGAAAUCAGGACCUUCCG